GUCAGUAUAUUUGAUCCGCAACCGCAGGAAAAGGAUUAGCUCUGGGGCUGUGUUAAGAAGACUGAGGUGGGAACUGUGUUUGCUUGGCUUGAAUCCGAUUCAAGUGUAGGUAUACACCAACCAGCUGUUGUGCUCCUGAGUUGGAUGCCGUCGGCGAGCUGUGUGCUCAAACUGGAAGCAAUCAGGGCGGCUCGUGGGUGAUUUUAGCUAUGCAUACGUCAUGAUUGCCGUCUGUGUAUGGCUACUGAUUUAACUGGGAGUGUGCAGGUAGUUUUAUGCCCUCUGGGGUAUUUGCAUAACAUGAAACCGCCAACACAGAACUAGCACAUACCUGGGUAAUCCCAUUAUCUAAUCAAAGCAAAGUAUUUCGAUUCCUGCUAAUCGGUUUUGACACAAUGGGGUUUCUUUUUGACUGGGGUGGUACAUCAAUCAAAUCGUAACGCGUGUGUCCCUG
rnacentral:ncRNA from 1 species